AUGGGCCAAUGUACUACAAGGGGCUGUACCAUCUCUUCUACCAGUACAACCCCAAGGGCGCCGUGUGGGGGAACAUCAUCUAGGCGCACUCCGUCUACACCGACCUCAUCCACUGGGUGGCCCUCCAGCCUGCGAUCUACCCGACCAAGCCCUUCGACGUCAACGGCUGCUGGUCGGGCUCCACCACCAUGUUGCCCAACGGCGUCCCGGUCAUCAUGUACACCGGCAUCGACCCCGAUAAGAACCAGGAAGAACGUCGCAUACCUGGCCAACCUCUCCGACCCCUUCCUCCGCGAGUGGGUCAAGCCCGAGUACAACCCCAUCAUCACCCCCGACCAUGGUAUCAACGACGACAGUUUGGUACGGGCGCGACAGGUAUGCACACAUACAUUUUCUUUUCAUCGAGAUAGACACUUGAGGUUGGUGGUGGGCAGCAAGGAAAACAUGAGUGGGAUUGCGGUGUUGUACCGGAGCCGAGAAUUCCAGAAGUGGGUCAAGGUGCACCACUCGUUGCACACCAGGCUCACUGGAAUGUGGGAAUGCUCCGACUUCUACCCCGUGGCUGUGGCCGGAGGCAACCGUCACCAUCAGAGAGACAUGUACACCGUGGAGUUGCACGACCAUGCUGUGGACGAGGAGGUCAAGUACGUGCUGAAGGUGAGUCUAGAACUGACACGGUACGAUUAA
rnacentral:rRNA from 1 species